rnacentral:rRNA from 1 species
UCUAGAGAUAGAGUCUUCCCCUUCGGGGGACAAAGUGACAGGUGGUGCAUGGUUGUCGUCAGCUCGUGUCGUGAGAUGUUGGGUUAAGUCCCGCAACGAGCGCAACCCUUAAGCUUAGUUGCCAGCAUUAAGUUGGGCACUCUAAGUUGACUGCCGGUGACAAACCGGAGGAAGGUGGGGAUGACGUCAAAUCAUCAUGCCCCUUAUGAUUUGGGCUACACACGUGCUACAAUGGACAAUACAAAGGGCAGCUAAACCGUGAGGUCAUGCAAAUCCCAUAAAGUUGUUCUCAGUUCGGAUUGUAGUCUGCAACUCGACUACAUGAAGCUGGAAUCGCUAGUAAUCGUAGAUCAGCAUGCUACGGUGAAUACGUUCCCGGGUCUUGUACACACCGCCCGUCACACCACGAGAGUCUGUAACACCCGAAGCCGGUGGAGUAACCAUUUAUGGAGCUAGCCGUCGAAGGUGGGACAAAUGAUUGGGGUGAAGUCGUAACAAGGUAGCCGUAUCGGAAGGU